rnacentral:rRNA from 1 species
GACGAACGCUGGCGGCGUGCCUAAUACAUGCAAGUCGAGCGAAGUUUUUCUGGUGCUUGCACUAGAAAAACUUAGCGGCGAACGGGUGAGUAACACGUAAAGAACCUGCCUCAUAGACUGGGACAACUAUUGGAAACGAUAGCUAAUACCGGAUAACAGUAUUUCUCGCAUGAGAGAUAUUUAAAAGUUGGUUAUGCUAACACUAUGAGAUGGCUUUGCGGUGCAUUAGCUAGUUGGUGGGGUAAAGGCCCACCAAGGCGACGAUGCAUAGCCGACCUGAGAGGGUGAUCGGCCACACUGGGACUGAGACACGGCCCAGACUCCUACGGGAGGCAGCAGUAGGGAAUCUUCCGCAAUGGGCGAAAGCCUGACGGAGCAACGCCGCGUGAGUGAAGAAGGAUUUCGGAUCGUAAAGCUCUGUUGUAAGAGAAGAACGGGUGUGAGAGUGGAAAGUUCACACUGUGACGGUAUCUUACCAGAAAGGGACGGCUAACUACGUG